rnacentral:rRNA from 1 species
UGAGGAAUAUUGCACAAUGGGCGCAAGCCUGAUGCAGCAACGCCGCGUGCGGGACGAAGGCCUUCGGGUCGUAAACCGCUUUUCUGGGGGAAGAGCAAGGACGGUACCUCAGGAAUAAGUCUCGGCUAACUACGUGCCAGCAGCCGCGGUAAAACGUAGGAGGCGAGCGUUAUCCGGAUUUACUGGGCGUAAAGCGCACGCAGGCGGAUCUGUUAGUCGGACGUGAAAGCUCUCGGCUUAACCGGGAGAGGCUGUUCGAUACUGCGCGGCUUGAGGUAGGGAGAGGAGUGCGGAAUUCCCGGUGUAGUGGGAGAAUGCGUAGAUAUCGGGAGGAAC